UACGUAGGGUGCAAGCGUUAAUCGGAAUUACUGGGCGUAAAGCGAGCGUAGUCGGUUAUUUAAGUCGGAUGUGAAAGCCCCGGGCUCAACCUGGGAAUUGCACUCGAUACUGGAUAGCUAGAGUUCGGCAGAGGGAAGCGGAAUUUCCGGUGUAGCGGUGAAAUGCGUAGAUAUCGGAAGGAACAUCAGUGGCGAAAGCGGCUUCCUGGACCAGAACUGACGAUCAGGCUCGAAAGCGUGGGGAGCAAACAGG
rnacentral:rRNA from 1 species